AUUGAACGCUGGCGGCAGGCCUAACACAUGCAAGUCGAGCGAGCGGAGGACGGGUGAGUAAUGUCUGGGAAACUGCCUGAUGGAGGGGGAUAACUACUGGAAAAGGUAGCUAAUCCCGCAUACCAUCAGAUGUGCCCAGAUGGGAUUAGCGAGUAGGUGGGGUAACGGCUCACCUAGGCGACGAUCCCUCGCUGGUCUGAGAGGAUGACCAGCCACACGGGAACUGAGACACGGGCCAGACUCCUACGGGAGGUAGCAGUGGGGAAUAUUGCACAAUGGGCGCAAGCCUGAUGCAGCCAUGCCGCGUGUAUGAAGAAGGCCUUCGGGUUUUAAAGUACUUUCAUCGGGGAGGCGUUACCCGCAGAAGAAGCACCGGCUAACUCCGUGCCAGCCGCCGCGGUAAUAC
rnacentral:rRNA from 1 species